GACGAACGCUGGCGGCGUGCUUAACACAGGAAAGUCGAACGGAAACGCCCUGCUUGCUUGCUCUUCCCGAGUGCCGAUCGGGUGCGUAACACGUGUGUAACCUGCUCUUCUCUUUCGUAUAACUUCAGGUAACUGGGCCUACUCCCGUAUCGCAUCUCCUCCUCCAUUGUGGGCGUUGGAUCUUUUCGGCGGUCGGGGAUGGAUUCGCGGCUUAUCAGUUUGUUGGUGGGGUAGUGGCUUACCCAGGCUUUGACGGGUACCCGGCCUGUGAGGGUGACCGGCGACAUUGGGACUGAGGGAGGGAGCAGAGUGGUACGGGAGGCAGCAGGGGGGAAUAUUGCACAAUGGGCGGAAGCGUGAUGAAGAAACGCCGGGUGCGGGAUAACCGCCUGCGGGUUGUAAAAAGCUUUAGCCUGUGACGAAGCGUGAGUGACGGUAAUGGGUAAAGAAGCACCGGCUAACUACGUG
rnacentral:rRNA from 1 species